rnacentral:rRNA from 1 species
UACGUAGGCAGCGAGCGUUGUUCGGAGUUACUGGGCGUAAAGAGUGCGUAGGCGGUUUUCUAAGUUUGGGGUGAAAUCUCCCGGCUUAACUGGGAGGGAGCGCCGAAGACUGGAAGGCUUGAGUAUGGGAGAGGUAAGCGGAAUUCCUGGUGUAGCGGUGAAAUGCGUAGAUAUCAGGAGGAACACCCAUGGCGAAGGCAGCAAACUGGGCAUCAACUGACGCUGAGGCGCGAAAGCGUGGGUAGCAAACAGG